AGGGCGGGACACGUGACAUCCUGUCUGAAUAUGGGGGGACCAUCCUCCAAGGCUAAAUACUCCUGACUGACCGAUAGUGAACCAGUACCGUGAGGGAAAGGCGAAAAGAACCCCGGCGAGGGGAGUGAAACAGAACCUGAAACCGUGUACGUACAAGCAGUGGGAGCACCUUCGUGGUGUGACUGCGUACCUUUUGUAUAAUGGGUCAGCGACUUAUAUUUUGUAGCAAGGUUAACCGAAUAGGGGAGCCGUAGGGAAACCGAGUCUUAACUGGGCGAAUAGUUGCAAGGUAUAGACCCGAAACCCGGUGAUCUAGCCAUGGGCAGGUUGAAGGUUGGGUAACACUAACUGGAGGACCGAACCGACUAAUGUUGAAAAAUUAGCGGAUGACUUGUGGCUGGGGGUGAAAGGCCAAUCAAACCGGGAGAUAGCUGGUUCUCCCCGAAAGCUAUUUAGGUAGCGCCUCGUGAACUCAUCUUCGGGGGUAGAGCACUGUUUCGGCUAGGGGGUCAUCCCGACUUACCAAACCGAUGCAAACUCCGAAUACCGAAGAAUGUUAUCACGGGAGACACACGGCGGGUGCUAACGUCCGUCGUGAAGAGGGAAACAACCCAGACCGCCAGCUAAGGUCCCAAAGUCAUGGUUAAGUGGGAAACGAUGUGGGAAGGCACAGACAGCCAGGAUGUUGGCUUAGAAGCAGCCAUCAUUUAAAGAAAGCGUAAUAGCUCACUGGUCGAGUCGGCCUGCGCGGAAGAUGUAACGGGGCUAAACCAUGCACCGAAGCUGCGGCAGCGAACGUAUCACUUAAAACGCUUAACGUGACGGCAAAGCCGGCAUGUUCAAGCCACACUAAACGUUGAGUUGGCCGAUGUGCUGACAAACGAACAGGCGUUUUAAGGAUACGUUCGUUGGGUAGGGGAGCGUUCUGUAAGCCGUUGAAGGUGGCCUGUGAGGGUUGCUGGAGGUAUCAGAAGUGCGAAUGCUGACAUAAGUAACGAUAAUGCGGGUGAAAAACCCGCACGCCGGAAGACCAAGGGUUCCUGUCCAACGUUAAUCGGGGCAGGGUGAGUCGACCCCUAAGGCGAGGCUGAAAAGCGUAGUCGAUGGGAAACAGGUUAAUAUUCCUGUACUUGGUGUUACUGCGAAGGGGGGACGGAGAAGGCUAGGCUAGCCGGGCGACGGUUGUCCCGGUUUAAGCAUGUAGGCGGAGUGACCAGGUAAAUCCGGUUGCUUAUC
rnacentral:rRNA from 1 species